AAUGAACGCUGGCGGCGUGCCUAACACAUGCAAGUCGAGCGAGAAAGAUCUUCGGAUCGAGUAAAGCGGCGGACGGGUGAGUAACGCGUGAGUAACCUGCCGUUCAGAGGGGGGACAACAGUUGGAAACGACUGCUAAUACCGCAUAAUGUAUAUAGGAGGCAUCUUCUGUAUACCAAAGGAGCAAUCCGCUGAAUGAUGGACUCGCGUCCGAUUAGAUAGUUGGUGGGGUAACGGCCUACCAAGUCGACGAUCGGUAGCCGGACUGAGAGGUUGAUCGGCCACAUUGGGACUGAGACACGGCCCAGACUCCUACGGGAGGCAGCAGUGGGGGAUAUUGCACAAUGGAGGAAACUCUGAUGCAGCAACGCCGCGUGAGGGAAGAAGGUCUUCGGAUUGUAAACCUUUGUUUUUGGUGACGAACAAAUGACGGUAGCCAAAGAGGAAGCCACGGCUAACUACGUG
rnacentral:rRNA from 1 species